GACGAACGCUGGCGGCGUGCUUAACACAUGCAAGUCGAGCGGUAAGGCCUCUUCGGGGGUACACGAGCGGCGAACGGGUGAGUAACACGUGGGUGACCUGCCCUCAGCUCUGGGAUAAGCCUGGGAAACUGGGUCUAAUACCGGAUAUGACCUUUCCUCGCAUGGGGUUUGGUGGAAAGUUUUUUCGGCUGGGGAUGGGCCCGCGGCCUAUCAGCUUGUUGGUGGGGUGAUGGCCUACCAAGGCGACGACGGGUAGCCGGCCUGAGAGGGCGACGGGCCAACCUGGGAGUGAGGCACGGGUAGGAAUCCUACGGGAGGGAGCAGUGGCGAAUAGGGCGAAAGGGGCGGGAGUGUGACGCAGUGACGGCGCGUGGGGGAUUACGGUUUGGGGGUUGUAAACCUCUAGCGACCCCGACGAAUUGGGACGGUAGGGGUAGAAGAAGCAACGGCCAACUACGUG
rnacentral:rRNA from 1 species